GACAGAGGGUGCAAACGUUGUUCGGAAUUACUGGGCGUAAAGCGCGUGUAGGCGGCCCGGAAAGUCGGAUGUGAAAGCCCUGGGCUUAACCUAGGAAGUGCAUUCGAAACUCCCGUGGUCUUGAGUCUGAGAGGGAAGCGGAAUUCUCGGUGUAGAGGUGAAAUUCGUAGAUAUCGAGAGGAACACCGGUGGCGAAGGCGGCUUCCUGGACAGUGACUGACGCUGAGACGCGAAAGCGGUGGGGAGCCAAACAGGG
rnacentral:rRNA from 1 species